ACGCUCCCUUUGGAGUAUAUAUAUUAACAUUGGAAUGACACAGAAUAUUAGCAUAUCCUCUGCAAGGAUGGCAUGCAAAUCCAUGAAGACUUCCAUAUCUUU
ensembl:snRNA U6 U6 spliceosomal RNA